rnacentral:lncRNA from 1 species
UUAUUUUAAAUUUAAAUUUUGAAGUAAACCAUUAUUGUGUUUGAUUUUAAAUUUUGUAUGCUUUGAAAUCUUGAUGUUUUUUAUGAGAUGCUUUGGCUAUAUUAUUUGUAAUUUUAGGGAUGCUUCGAGUCUUUGACUAUUGUUUUUGUACUCGAGUUGCAUAUCUCACAAACUUUUUGUGUUUUGUAAUUUUAGGUGAAGAGCUUCUUUCAGACUCCUUCCCCUACAAGGAACUAUUGAAUGGGUUCCUAUGAGAAGUUGAAGAAAAGUUAUGGAUAAUGAAAACAAU